CCGUCUGUCUGUCCCUGUCCUGGGGGGUCCCUGCCGUGAGCCCCAGCCCCGGGGGGGCUGAGCCCCCCAAACCUCCCCCAGACCCUCUGAAGGGCCCCACCCCCAACUCCCAGCGGCGAUUCCCUCCCCACCGCAGACACAACACCGGGGAAUUGUCCGGGAUGCUUUAUUGGAGGGAGGGGACAGCCCGCGGUCACUUCUUGGCCUCCUCCUCCUUGGAGAGGGUUUUGAUGAUCUCCUCCUUCUUGGCCUGCAGCCGCUCCUCCCGGCGCUUCCGCGCCUCCUUGGUCUUGGAGCGCCGCGCCUCCGCCUGGUCCCUGCGGGGCCGGGGCCGUGAGGAGGGCCCGGGGCAGCCGCGGCCCGCCCCGAGCUCUGCCCCGAGCUCUGCCCCGGCCCGCCCCGAGCUCUGCCCCGGCCCGCCCCGAGCUCUGCCCCGACCGGCCCCGAGCUCUGCCCCGGCCCGCCCCGAGCUCUGCCCCGAGCUCUGCCCCGGGCCGCCCCGAGCUCUGCCCCGGGCCCGGGGCACGGCUGAGCCACCCCAGCCCUGGGAUUUCCCAGUCCCCACCUCACUCAGGGAUUUCCGGGAUUUCCCAGUUCCCACCUCACUCAGGGAUUUCCCAUUUCCCACCUCACUCAGGGAUUUCUGGGAUUUCCCAGUUCCCACCUCACUCAGGGAUUUCCCAUUUCCUACCUCAGUCAGGGAUUUCCCAGUCCCCACCUCAGUCAGGCAUUUCCCAUUUCCCACCUCACUCAGAGAUUUCCAGGAUUUCCCAGUUCCUACCUCAGUCAGGGCUUUCCCAUUUCCCACCUCACUCAGGGAUUUCCCAUUUCCCAGUCCCCACCUCACUCAGGGAUUUCUGGGAUUUCUCAUCUCCCACCUCAGUCAGGGAUUUCCGGGCUUUCCCAUCUCCCACCUCAGUCAGGGAUUUCUGGGAUUUCCCAUUUCCCACCUCACUCAGGGAUUUCCGGGAUUUCCCAUUUCCCAGUUCCCACCUCAGUCAGGGAUUUCCCAGCCCCACCUCAGUGGGGAUUUCUGGGAUUUGGGAUCUCCCACCUCACUCAGGGAUUUCCCAUUUCCCAUUUCCCACCUCACUCAGGGAUUUCCCAUUUCCAAUUUCCCACCUCACUCAGGGAUUUCCCAGUCCCCACCUCACUCAGGGAUUUCCCAUCUCCCACCUUACUCAGGGAUUUCCCAUUUCCCAUCUCCCACCUCACUCAGGGAUUUCCCAUUUCCCACCUCACUCAGGGAUUUCCCGGCCCCACCUCAGUGGGGAUUUCUGGGAUUUGGGAUCUCCCAGCUCCCAGCAGGUUUCCCUGGUGCAGAGCCCCCCUGCAGCAGCACUUACGCC
rnacentral:lncRNA from 1 species